rnacentral:rRNA from 1 species
GAUGAGCGCUGGCGGCGUGCCUAAUACAUGCAAGUCGAGCGAACGGACGAGAAGCUUGCUUCUCUGAUGUUAGCGGCGGACGGGUGAGUAACACGUGGAUAACCUACCUAUAAGACUGGGAUAACUUCGGGAAACCGGAGCUAAUACCGGAUAAUAUUUUGAACCGCAUGGUUCAAAAGUGAAAGACGGUCUUGCUGUCACUUAUAGAUGGAUCCGCGCUGCAUUAGCUAGUUGGUAAGGUAACGGCUUACCAAGGCAACGAUGCAUAGCCGACCUGAGAGGGUGAUCGGCCACACUGGAACUGGGACACGGUCCAGACUCCUACGGGAGGCAGCAGUAGGGAAUCUUCCGCAAUGGGCGAAAGCCUGACGGAGCAACGCCGCGUGAGUGAUGAAGGUCUUCGGAUCGUAAAACUCUGUUAUUAGGGAAGAACAUAUGUGUAAGUAACUGUGCACAUCUUGACGGUACCUAAUCAGAAAGCCACGGCUAACUACGUG